CACACACCUUUAUGUUUCGUUAAUAUAGAGGUCGCUUGCGGUUUGAAGAUAGCUGCUGGACUGCGUAAUGUUGUUAGCGUACUGAUAGCUCAAGCUUCUUGUAGCAGCGUCCAUCCGUCUUCUUUGUGCCAGCAAUGUACCGUAUGUGCUCUAAUCUUCACACAGCUCAUAUCUCCAGUGUGUAUUAAUGCAUCUGUCAGCACAAUGAAUGUUAAUUUAUUCAAAUAAGUCAACAGUUAAGAUGGAAGAAAACCAGUAUACAUCAUUGACGGUUCCUACGGAUUAUUUUCAGCAGUGGUACCAGUCCAGCCAGCAGCACCCCGAGGCUCAAUAUGUGAUGCCCUAUCACAACAUGGGCCAUUACACAGAAGGUCCCAGAGACGAGCCUGUCAUGGCCGAGCUGUCUGUCCACCGGGAGCCGUCUCUGUACCAGGAUCCCUUUUAUCAGAACCACCUCUCGGCCCAAAAUCACUACCAGGAGCCGGCCUAUCAGCAGAACAUCAGGGAGCAGCAGCAUCCGUCACACCUGCACCACCCUCAGCAUCAACAUACAAUACAGCAGCAUGAGACCAGUGUUCACCACCAAUCUCAACCGGCUGGUCCACCUCAAGUUGUGACGCCGGUGAAGAAGAAGAGAGGCCGGCCCCCUAAGCAGCAGGCGGAGGAGGGCAAGACGCAGGAGGAGGAGGAUGAGAUUGAGGCGGCCAAAAAGGCAAAGAGGGCUCUCAACCGCUUCAAUGGCAUGUCAGUGGCUGAGGUUAUGGCCAAAACCUUGCCUGACGUUAUUACCUACAAUCUUGACAUUUUGAUAAUUGGAAUUAACCCAGGACUAUUGUCAGCCUUCAAAGGACACCAUUACCCAAACCCAGGAAACCAUUUCUGGAAAUGUCUGUUUCUCUCUGGUCUAACUGACGAGCAGCUCAACUACAUGCAUGACCAAAGCCUGCCUGAGAAUUAUAGCAUCGGCUUCACCAACAUGGUAGAGAGGACCACCCCUGGCAGCAAGGACCUCUCCAGUAAGGAGAUUCGUGAAGGAGGUCGACAGUUACUUGACAAGCUGCAGAAGUACAAGCCAUUAAUAGCUGCUUUUAAUGGAAAAGGUAUUUAUGAAAUCUUCUGCAAAGAGACAUUUGGUGUGAAGGCAAAGAAUCUGGAGUUCGGUCUACAGCCCUACAAAAUCCCCGAAACUGAAACGGUGUGCUACUUGAUGCCAUCGUCAAGCCCCCGCUGUGCCCAGUUUCCCCGUGCACAGGAUAAGGUACAUUUCUACAUCAAGCUGAAGGAACUGCGAGACCAGAUGAAAGGGCAGGUACCCGGCCACGAGGUGGAAGAGACAAAGUACUCCUUCGAUCUGCAGCUAGCUAAAGAGGAUGCUAAGAGGAUUGCAAUCAAAGAAGAGCAGGUGGAUCCAGAGUAUGAAAGCUGUAGUGGGCCGCAUGACGACGCCAAGCAAAGCAGCAACACCCCCAACUAAAAGAGUCCGAGGAGAGGUGAAAAAACAAGCUUGUCUGCAGUAGCACACAGAAACGGACAUUGUAGGCCAGUCAGCGGAAAACAUGGAAUCACUGCAGCUGGAGAUGUUCGCUCAGCAUACCAGAUAUCAGCUGUACUAGUAGCAUGAGGCAUCAAUGAGGGAACACAACCCUCUGAUGACACCACAAGAGAAGAGGAGUCAUACAGCCUCUGACGCAUCGCAAUGACGCACAAGGGAGAAAUGCCCACAACGGUUACAUUUUCUAACUCUCACACAAACGGUGCAUGUUUUUGGUGUAAUUUUUUAUCACUAUUUAUUGCAUUUUGUAUGGUAUGUGUGUCCAGUGACUUAUUUUUGUAUUUUAAAAGAAUGACAUUUUAUGAUUUAUCAGCUGUAUAAAUAGGUAAUUGUACUCUGGAAUUUCUAAUCUGUAAUUACAGAGUUAUUAAAUCUCUUCUAACGCUGGCACAUUUUCCGUCUCAUUGUUGUAAGUUGUUCAUGUGAAGCUGUAAUAUAUAACCUGUAAUGUAAGGAAACAAAAUGUCUGGUUACUCUUGGUUGGUCCCCAGGCGUCGCAGUG